rnacentral:tRNA from 1 species
GUGCCUAUAGCUUAGUGGUAAAGCUCCGCUCUGUGGCAGCGGCGAUAUGGGUUCGAUCCCCAUUAGGCACC